AUAGAGACUCAGAGCUGCAUAUCAAUAAGCGGAGGAAAAGAAACUAACUAGGAUUCCCUUAGUAACGGCGAGUGAAGCGGGAAGAGCUCAAAUUUGAAAUCUUCAAGGUUUUACCUUGACGAAUUGUAGUUUAAAGAAGUGUUUUCUGUUGGUGUUUCGGUAAAAGUUCUUUGGAAUAGGACAUCAUAGAGGGUGAGAAUCCCGUAUUUGACCAUUACUUUCCAGCGUUGUGAUACACUUUCAAAGAGUCGGAUUGUUUGGGAAUGCAGUCCAAAAUGGGUGGUAAAUUUCAUCUAAAGCUAAAUAUUGGCGAGAGACCGAUAGCGAACAAGUACCGUAGAGGGAAAGAUGAAAAGAACUUUGAAAAGAGAGUUAAACAGUACGUGAAAUUGUCAAAAGGGAAGCGUUUGACACCAGUGUUGUUUUUCCGAAAAUCAAUUACGAAUGGCUUGAUUCUGUGUUGUAUUGACCUUAUCAGCUUUCUUCACUUUUUUCGAGUCUUUCUUAAUGCACUUUUCGGUUAACAAGUCAACAUCAAUUUCUUUUGUUGUAAAAGAGUAUUCGGAAGGUGGCUUUCUUUUCGGAGAAAGUGUUUAUAGCCCUAUACUUCUACAAUCGGAGAGAUUGAGGUCUGCAGCGUAGAUCCUUCGGGGUUAGAUACACUUGUGCUAAGUUGUAGCUUUUCAUAGACAACUUGUUGACUAUGUUUAGUCAUGCGGCUUACUCGCUUGUGCUAUUUUACCUACGCUUAGGAUGUUGAAGUCAUCGUAUCGCGC
rnacentral:rRNA from 1 species